rnacentral:rRNA from 1 species
UACAGAGGUCCCAAGCGUUGUUCGGAUUCACUGGGCGUAAAGGGUGCGUAGGUGGCUUGGUAAGUUCGAUGUGAAAUCUCCGGGCUUAACCCGGAAAUGGCAUUGAAUACUAUUGAGCUGGAGGUUUGGAGGGGGGACUGGAAUUCUCGGUGUAGCAGUGAAAUGCGUAGAUAUCGAGAGGAACACCAGUGGCGAAGGCGAGUCCCUGGACAACACCUGACACUGAGGCACGAAAGCGUGGGUAGCAAACAGG